AAUAAUACUUACAAACAGAGGACGCCUGCAUGAGGGUCGAUAUUCGGAGGAAUCUUGUGCAUAAACAAAACGUUUACACCGAAUCAUGUGACUGUCAUGCAGUGCAGCUGAGACGGGGUCUCUGCUGGGACAAACAUCAAGAACGCGAAAGCGAUUUGGGGGGGAAAAAAACACCUGCGACUUCUGACUGAACUGAACUAUGCGCGGGCUCGUAUGAAUGUCUAUUUUACAUCAUAGGGCCCUCCAAAGAGGAGGACACCAGGAGAUAGCCGGGUGUCUUGAGUUUUGGGUGCCGCUCUUCUCUGGUGGUCCGACUGAUCGCUGUCUGAUGUGUGAUAGAGACGCCUCAGGGGUCGAGCAGAGGUUUCAUCAGAUUCCUUCUCAGACAGCAGGUGGUAAAACUUCAGGCAGAGCCGCGGUGUCCUGUGAUUGGUCAGAAACAAGCCAAUCACGGAGGCUGGAGUUCUGUAACCUCUUUAUCACAGCGUCAUUGGUGAAUGCUGAUUGGCUAUAAACAGGAGAGGUUAAAGGUCUCGUUCUGUCAGUGUUUUCCGUCUGAUCCUCCGAUGGAUGCUCUUUUGAAAUGCUCUUCCUGGAGACAGGGGGUCUGGCUGCGCUCUGACCCAGAGGAAGAGGGGCCAUGUGGGGCCGCCGACCCCCUCCUGAGCCCAAGAGCCUCCACAGAGCCACACGAGGACAUGCAUCCAUCAGAGAGCGGGGUAAAUCAACACAUGAAAAUGCAUCAUAUUGUUGCCUUCAUGUCAGGAGUGCAUCAGUGAUGGGCCAAACAUACGCAAAUGAUGCAAAUUCUCAAGGGUUCUGCUUUAUUGAUGUCAUUCAUCAGCAGUUUCUACAUGAGGAGAUUAACAUCAGAUCCAAAUAUCUCAUUCACCUUGAAAGCAUCUCAAAGCCUUUUUAUAUAAUGCUUUUAUUGUCGAGGAGCAGAGGAUUUUCACCCGUUGACCAUGCAGGGACCCGUUUAUCAGACCUGUGAUUAGGAUCCCAUGGAGUCUGACAGAGCCGCUGGCCCGCAGGAGUCCAGUGCCAUGAGGAUGGAGACGGAGCCGGUGAGGAAACGGAAAGCGAUAUGGAGGAGAUCUGCUGAUCUUCCAAGUAUUCCAGAACCUGCUUAACUUAAACUGUAUCCUGCCCUGAUCACAGCAGGGUUUGGUUUGGACUCACUAUCAAAAAUAUCCUCUGUGAUACUGAUGUGUGUGUGUGAGACCAUUAUCUACAGUCCAAUUCAGUGUCAUUGCCUCACUUUCCAAUGAAAAUAUCAGAAAAUCCUUCAAAUAAAUUAAGUUUCCCAAUCUUUUUCUACAAGCAUUGUUUUAAAUUGGUUUGUACUUUAAAUUUAGAAUGAGAUAUUGCAGUGCACCAAAAUAUCUGACCUCCAAAAAAACAAAGUUUAUGUUUAAAUGCGAGUUUUUAAAAAGGAAACAACAUAACAUUAAACUUACAGUAUGUCCUGGAUAUUGACGCUGAAGGCACAUAUUGAGACACAUAAUUGUAAAACUCAGGAAAUGGACACGCUCCAGUGUGUUUAUAACCAACA